rnacentral:rRNA from 1 species
GACAUGCAAGUGGUAGGAAGCCGAAAGGUGACCGACCUUCGGGAGCUUGCACAGGUGCUGCAUGGCUGUCGUCAGCUCGUGUCGUGAGAUGUUCGGUUAAGUCCGCUAACGAGCGCAACCCUCGCUGUGUGUUAUAUGUGUCACACGGGACUGCCGGUCUUAAGCCGGAGGAAGGUGGGGAUGAUGUCAAGUCAGCAUGGCCUUUAUAUCCUGGGCUACACACACGCUACAAUGGCCAACACAAUAGGUUGCUAAGCCGCGAGGUGGCGCCAAUCCAUAAAGUUGGUCUCAGUUCAGAUUGUAGGCUGCAACCCGCCUGCAUGAAGAUGGAGUUGCUAGUAACCGCAGGUCAGCUAUACUGCGGUGAAUACGUUCCCGGGGCUU